AGUGGAGACUGCGCAGUCUCGGGUCUCAGCACCAUGGAAACGCUUGCUGGGCCUGGGGCGACAAUGGCGGCUUGGUCUGUUUUAACUGCUAGGGCUCUGACUACUUUCCUCAUGUUGGUCCUCCCUCGCGUCUCACAGGCUCCGACUUUCUCCUUUCCUUUCCAGCAGCCAGAGACAUGCAGCCACAACCAGUACUUCGAUAUCUCGGCGCUGUCCUGUGUCUCGUGUAGAGCCAACCAGAAGCAGGAUGCUCGAGGAACUUCAUGUGUGUGCUUACCAGGAUUUCAGAUGAUUUCUAAUAAUGGAGGACCUGACAUUAUUUGUAAAAAGUGUCCAGAAAACAUGAAUGGUAUUACUGAAGAUGGCUGGAACUGCAUUUCUUGCCCUAAUGGCUUAACUGCAGAAGGAAAAUGCCACUGUCCCACUGGCCAUAUUUUAGUGGAAAGAGAUGUUAAUGGAUCAUUGUUAUCUCAAGCAACUUGUGUGCUUUGUGAUGGAAAUGAAAACUCUUUUACCAUAGCCAAUGCUUUAGGAAACACAUGUGUCCGAUGUGAACCAACAUUCAUUAAUGCCAGCAGGUCCUGUGAAUGUUCAGAACCUAACAUUCUAACAGGGGCAUUAUGUUUCAGCAGCUCAGGGAGGUUUCCUCCACGUGUAAUUUCAGCUGCACGCCAGGGAGAGCCUGGGAUGUCUUUCAUUUCAGAAUGGUUUGCAAAGUAUUUGCAGUCAGCAGCAGCUGCAUGUUGGGUGUACACCAACCUGACAUCUUGCCAAGCUCUUGGUAAUAUGUGUGUGAUGAAUAUGAAUUCUUAUGACUCUGCCCUUGAUGCAUGUUGGCUGUUUCAGUUUAUCUUUGAAAAUACUGCUGGACUGAGCACUGUGCAUUCCAUUUCAUUUUGGAGACAGAAUCUUCCGUGGCUGUUUUAUGGAGACCAGUCAGGACUGGCACCUCAAAUACUCAGUAGUACACCUCUCCCUACAAAUUUCAGUUUUAAAGGACAAAGCCAGACUACAGAACUGAAGUUUGUUGCUGCUUCCUAUGACAUAAGGGGAAAUUUUCUUAAAUGGCAAACUUUAGAGGGAGGUGUUUUACAGCUUUGUCCAGACACAGAGGCAAGACUAAAUGCUGCUUAUUCUUUUGGAACAACCUAUCAACAAAAUUGUGAGAUUUCUCUUUCUAAGAUCCUAACUGACUUUCCCACUCCUGUAUUUUAUGAUAUUUACCUUGAAUAUACUGAUGAAAAUGAACAACAAAAUAUUUGGGCUGUACCUGUGUUAAACUUAAAUCUUCAACACUACAAAAUGUUUGUGAAUCAAGACAGUAGCUCUAGCAAGUGGCUUCUGACUCGGCGCAUUUUCUUAGUGGAUGCAGUAAGCGGACGGGAAAAUGACUUAGGAAAUCAGCCAAGAGUAAUUCGAAUUGCUACCCAGAUAUCACUGAGCAUCCACCUUGUACCUGACACAAAAAAUGGAAACAUAUACCCUCCCUUAAUCACAAUCGCCUACAGUGACAUUGACGUCAAAGAUCCCUACAGCCAAUCUGUAAAAAUUUCUUUCUCAGUCAAAUAUGAAAUGAAUCAAGGAGAAGCAUUUAUCCAGACAGAUAUUGCCUUGGGUGUGUUGGGCGGGCUAGCUGUUUUAUCAUCUCUUUUGAAGACAGCGGGGUGGAAGAGGCGCAUUGGGAGUCCCAUGAUUGAUCUACAGACCGUUAUGAAGUUCUUGGUGUACUAUGCUGGCAAUCUGGCCAAUGUCUUUUUUAUCGUCACAAUGGGAACAGGUCUUUAUUGGCUUAUUUUUUUCAAAGCACAGAAGUCUGUAUCUGUUUUGCUGCCAGUGCCAGCUCAAGAAGAACGCUUUGUUACUUAUGUGGGAUGUGCUUUUGCUCUGAAGGCUCUGCGAUUUUUGCAUAAACUCAUAUCCCAGAUUACCAUAGAUAUAUUCUUUAUUGAUUGGGAGCGGCCUAAAGGAAAAGUUCUUAAAGCUGUUGAAGGUGAAGGCGGUGUACGGAGUGCCACUGUUCCUGUAAGCAUUUGGAGAACAUAUUUUGUAGCAAAUGAAUGGAAUGAGAUUCAGACUGUGAGGAAAAUUAAUCCACUCUUUCAAGUACUUACUGUUGUCUUCUUUUUGGAGAUUGUGGGAUUCAAGAACUUAGCCUUGAUGGACUCAUCCUCAAGUCUUUCUAGAAGCCCAUCUAGCUACAUACCUCCUUAUAGCCGCAUACUGAGGUAUGCUGUGUCUACUACUCUUUGGUUGGUCAUUGGAGUUGUACAGAUCGUGUUCUUUGCUGGCUUUUAUGAGCGAUUCGUAGAGGAUAAAAUUCGACAGUUUGUUGAUUUAUGCUCAGUGAGUAAUAUAUCAGUGUUUUUGCUAUCCUACAAAUGUUUUGGAUAUUACAUUCAUGGCAGAUCAAUACAUGGGUAUGCGGAUACUAAUAUGGAAGAAAUGAAUAUGAAUCUUAAAAGAGAAGCGGAAAAUUUGUGUAGCCAAAGAGGUUUGGUACCCAACACAGAUGGUCAGACUUUUCAGAUUGCAAUUUCCAGCCAGAUGAGACAGCAUUAUGACAGGAUUCAUGAGACGCUCACAAGGAAAAAUGGCCCUGCUAGACUAUUGAGUUCAUCUGCAAGUACUUUUGAACAGAGUAUAAAAGCAUAUCAUGCGAUGAAUAAAUUUCUUGGUUCUUUCAUCGAUCAUGUUCAUAAGGAAAUGGAUUACAUUAUAAAAGAUAAAUUGCUUCUUGAAAGAAUUCUUGGGAUGGAAUUCAUGGAACCAAUGGAAAAAAGCAUCUUUUACAAUGAUGAAAGUUACUCUUUCAGCCGUAUGCUGUAUUAUGGAAAUGAAGCCACUCUUCUUAUUUUCGACCUGUUGUUCUUCUGUGUUGUGGAUUUGGCUUGCCAGAACUUUAUUUUAGCAGCCUUCCUGACAUACCUACAACAAGAGGAAUUUCUGUGAGGACAACAAACCCAUUGGAUGGCUGAGGAUAAUUUCUCCAUCUCAAGAUCAUUAAUUUAAUUACAUCUGCAGAGCCCAUUUUGCCAUGUAAGAACACUGGCUUGAUUUGGGAUGAAAUAUGCUGAAUUUCUGCUUUGGGCUGAUGGAUGUAUUUACUUCAUGGUAGCCAAAGAAUAAUCAGCAGGCGUCUGCUAAAUAAGGAUCCUGAAAGGCUAUUGGUUUCAUCAUAAGAAGAACACUGUUUCCCUGCUGUGAUGGUGUCCUGACUGCCAUGAAGUAGACAGCUUUGCACCCCUGCCCCUCAGCCUUGAUGUCUCUGCCUUGGGGCCAGCGGCUCAUGGACUGAAACUAAUAUGCAUUGCAGAGCUCACCUUGUAUCACCAACAGCCCCCUCCACGUGGGUCUCAAACAGAACAGCAGCCUUAUGUCUCCCACCUUCCAGAAAGUGAAAGCAACUGCAAGCAAUUCCUGUUCAAGCUACAUGCAGUGCUGAGUAUCUACAUCCCCAACUGCUUGAGCAGCUGAGGCAGGAGGAUCACCUGAGCCCAGGAAAUCAAGGCCAGCCUGAGCAACAGAGCAAGACUCUACAUCUUGUAAAUGGAAAAAGGAAGGAAGAAAGAAAGAUAUCUCCUUCAAGAGUACACACUAGGCAAACUCCACUUGCUGAAAGCUUCUCCCAUUUGUGAUGGCCUUGAGGAGAUCACUCAGGUCAAGUCCUUAACAUGGCUUCAUGAUUUACCCCGAUCACUUCUUCAGCUUCUUCUCUCUUCAUUGUUCCAUCCAGGCUCAAGCUCUAAGUGCCGCAGACCCCAGAAUAAAUCUCUGGAAUGAGUCCAUUGGUCACCUAACCAGUCUGUCUGUCUGCUCUCCCUGUUUCACUCCCUUCUUGAUGACUCAGACUUGAAUGAUCUCCUUCUGAGAGCUCUCUCGUUUCAGCUGCCUCAUCCCAACUCAUCUUUUGGAGCUAAUUUAGACUCUCCUCACAGGGCUUUCUUGACCCUCCAUGACAAGGCCAAGGGUCCCUUUCCUGAGACCCCACAGCAUUCCCACUCCCUUCUUCAAAGCAUUUAUCGUGGUAUCAGUCUUAACCUGUUUUCUUGCCUGCUUCCGUGAAAGGACUGAGACUUCUGUCAGGACAGAGGCCAUCUCCAUCUAUCUGUCAUUUUUACAAAAUUGCAUCUCCAGCACUGUAACAGUAUUUUGCACAUAUUUUACAUUUAUUUGUAUUAUUUUUUAUUAUCUUGUCUUGUACGUUAUGUAUUUCCACAGAGGAGCCUUUAGCUGGGGAUUCAGCUCAGUGGU